GUUCUCACCCUGGCAGCACAUAUACUAAAAUUGGAAUGGUAUGGAGCAGAUUAGCAUGGCCCCUGCACAAGGAUGACAUGCAAAUUUGUGAAGCGCUCCAUAUUUUU
rnacentral:snRNA from 1 species